UUCACCGAAUACCUCGACGCCGCGGAGGGCGGUUGGCUGUGGUCCGACCCGGAACGGUCCGGGUCGAUCGCCUCGGCCAUGGUGCGU
rnacentral:tRNA from 1 species